GCGGUUAUACGGGAGGCCCAAGUUGUCAAAAGUCGGCGUAAAGAGUGGUUAAGAUAAGAUUAAAUUAAGGCCGAACGCCUUCCGGGCCGUUAUACGCAUCUGAAGGUAAGAAGUUCAAUUACGAAAGUAGCUUUAUACUCUCUGACCCCACGAAAGCUAGGAUA
rnacentral:rRNA from 1 species